GCCCUCCUAACCCCACACAGAUGUCUCACAAGCCGCGCUCCGCUCUUGGAGGGUGGACAGAGCAUGCAGGGCAAAUCCAUCACCCAACAACUUACAGCACAAGACCUGUGGAAGGUUUAUUCAAAAAUGAGAACUGGAAUAUGGUCAUCUUCUUUACAUUUCUUUGUGCUUCAAGCAAUUGGACAAUGAGGAAAGGCUAAAGAACGAGGAACAAAAAGGUGUAGAAACUUCUAAGAAAUGAAAAUGCAGACAGCGUAUGCAACUAAAAUGAAGGACUGCAUUAUCAAAUUCAUGAGUUUUCAAAGAAGGAUUCAUUUAUGUCACCCUACUCAAUGUACUAAAACAG